rnacentral:rRNA from 1 species
GAUGAACGCUAGCUACAGGCUUAACACAUGCAAGUCGAGGGGCAGCAUGGAUUUACUUCGGUAGAUUUGAUGGCGACCGGCGCACGGGUGCGUAACGCGUAUCCAACCUUCCCGUUACUCUGGGAUAGCCUUCCGAAAGGGAGAUUAAUACCGGAUGGUGUUCAAAUGGUGCACGAUGGGGAUGCGUUCCAUUAGGCAGUUGGCGGGGUAACGGCCCACCAAGCCUUCGAUGGAUAGGGGUUCUGAGAGGAAGGUCCCCCACACUGGAACUGAGACACGGUCCAGACUCCUACGGGAGGCAGCAGUGAGGAAUAUUGGUCAAUGGCCGCAAGGCUGAACCAGCCAAGUAGCGUGAGGGAUGACAGCCCUACGGGUUGUAAACCUCUUUUGUCCGGGAAUAAAACGGGGGGACGCGUCCCCCCCGUUGCAUGUACCGGUUGAAUAAGGGCCGGCUAAUUCCGUGCCAGCAG